AAUUCACCUUGCUUCUUAAUGUUUCUGGAGUCCCAAAAACGCAGGAGGCGAGCCACGACGAACUGAGCAGAUCGACCCAGGCGGAGAUCGUCGAACGAUGUCGGGGCAACAACGGCGGGAGCGGAGGAAGCCAUCUUUGAGAGAAUCUUUGGAAGCGGAGAAAAAAAAUUUUAAGUGAGAGUGAUUGAGAGCGAUCCCCACAGCCUCAUCCAUCUCCUAUUUAUAGAAUUAAGAAUUAUCAGACGAAGAAUACCGAAACGUUACAGAGUUUAUUGUAAUUAAGACACAGUUAAAGAAUACAUUGAAGGUGGAGGAAGGUAAAGAGAUGAGAAGGGGUGGCUUUACAAAAAAACAGAAUCAAAAUCGGCGACUUCAACAAUGGAAGAAGAAGACGACGACGCCCUAGAACAAAACCCGUCGUUUUCUUUCAAUUAUUCCCGUGAAUUAUUCA